UACGUAGGGGGCCAGCGUUGCUCGGAAUUACUGGGCGUAAAGGGUUCGUAGGUGGUGCGGCAAGUUGGGAGUGAAAUCUCUGGGCUUAACCCAGAGGCUGCUUUCAAAACUGCCGUGCUCGAGUGCGAGAGAGGUCAGUGGAAUUGCAGGUGUAGCGGCGAAAUGCGUAGAUAUCUGCAGGAACACCCGUGGCGAAGGCGGCUGACUGGAUCGCAACUGACACUGAGGAACGAAAGCUAGGGGAGCAAACAGG
rnacentral:rRNA from 1 species